rnacentral:rRNA from 1 species
UACAGAGGGGGCGAGCGUUAUUCGGAAUUAUUGGGCGUAAAGGGCGCGUAGGCGGCCACGCCAGUCUUGGGUGAAAUCCCUCGGCUCAACCGAGGAACUGCCUUGGAAACUGCAUGGCUCGAGGCCGGGAGAGGGUAGCGGAAUUCCCAGUGUAGCGGUGAAAUGCGUAGAUAUUGGGAGGAACACCGGUGGCGAAGGCGGCUACCUGGACCGGUUCUGACGCUGAUGCGCGAAAGCGUGGGGAGCAAACAGG